GAUGACAUCAUUGCGAAACGGUUGAACGGCGGGGAAAGGGGCAUCCGUAAAGAUCGUGGAUCAUCACGAAGAGCGGGUAAAGACGAAGAGUGUGUUGCGUGGCGGACAGGAGGGGGGUCGAGAAUGAAAAGGAAGACAUGGCUAGCGAUGGCCUCGAGACGCUUCGAAUUUUUUCCGCCACGCGGAACGGUACAAGUUCUCGAUUAGUUCAAACAGCGACGUGUAGUAAAUUUGAAGAAACGUAGUGCGCAACCUUGGUAGAAAGUGAUAAAUCUAUCGAGCUGAAACCACGUGGAAAGAAAUUAUAUAACGCGUCUCGUUCAUUGUAGUUUCUUACGGUAAAUUGCGUUUAUUCGUUCGUAUAUAAGCAGAAAGGGGAACAUUUGUACAGUUCUCGAUCGAUCUUACGAACGAUAUCAGAUGCAAGUUGUUAGAGAAAUUAAGAGGCAGAAUCGAACGACCAACGCUAGACACACAGAAGUCCUGGGCGACUAAAGAGCAAGUGGGAGGAACGGAGAAUGGAAGAACAGCGAAGAGAGAACGACCGAGGUCUUUCUACGUAGAAAACUUACAGAGGGGGGAGAGGAGAACGAAACCGUGAUGUGAUAUAAGUAUGAGAAUUCAGCGGUGGGGUAGACCAGGCAACCAGGCCUUGAACAAGCGAAAAAGAACAGAAAGCUUCGGAUCCUUUACAAUACGCUACACAAACUACCGCUUCAUAAAGUUGCACGAAAAUCGACUACCGCAUCUUCCGUUACCAAAUCGUCGUUUCCAAUCCGUUUGCACGUCUCGUCACUGUGAUUUUUAACGAUUUGGACGUUGUCUCGUUACGAAAACUAAAGACAUGCCCAGAAAUAGAAAGUUACACGUCCAAGUUCCUUUUGACUCGAAUCACGCGCAUAAUUUUAAAACGGCUAAGUCGAGAGUUAAAUUCGAACCAUCGCUACUUCGAAGUUUGUAUAAGCUGUCGCUGUGGGAUUAUCCGAGGCGAUUAAUGCCCACGCGAAAUUUCUAUUUUGAUUACCUGAAACGAGCGUUACCUGGAGCGAACUUGAAUUUUAAUGAUCGUGCACGCAUCCGUAAAAUUGGCGUUACGCAAGAAAGACCGACCUAACCAGCCUCGUUCACAAAAGUGUGCUUUCUAAAAGUGUCGUAACGAGAUAUAGCCGUUCAAAACUGGGAGAUGCUUCUUCUACAAGUAAGCAACCAUCGAGAGAAGCAGGCUAAGUUUCUACGACACUGGAACAAUGAUCAAGCGCAUAAAGAAUUAUAAGGAACUUUUCCGGAAGUGCGUCAGUAGAAUACCGACAAUGCAUAGAACGGCAGUGGCAAGAAAAAAAAAAAAAAAGAAAAAGAAGAAGAAAGGAUGGCCCGAGGAGAAAGAGAAACAGAAAAAUAAGAAGAGUAUGGCUAUCGUCGGAAAUUCGAUUACGCGUUGUAUAACCACAAGUAUAUCAAACCGUUGACACCCCAUCGGGAUUCGUAUCCUGUUUUGAGACACUCGACAAACGUCUGCGUUUUUCGUUCAUUGGGCGUCAUCGUAGCCGCGAAAUUUUUUCUACCUAUGCCGCGAACAGAAAUGAGGAAGAAAAAGGGAGAAGCGAAGGAAAAAUGUCUUACCUUUUAGCGUCACGAUAUUUACGAACGUCGAACGAAACACGUAUCGCUACGUCAAAGGUUGCUAGGCUCCGUAACGUUUUAUCCGGACGAUUACAUUUAUCCUCGUGACCGUGUAUCGACCGUGUAACUUUACGAUUGUCCGUACCGAAGUUCAUACAUUUUUCAUCGGUCAGCUAAAUUUUAAAUAUCGUCGAUAUAUCGCGAUAUAUAGCUUGUCUCUCGAACUCGCCAGAAAUAAAGUCCUUUCCUGCUGU